ensembl:lncRNA
AAAAUAUUGUGCAAAUCUCUUUAUUAUGAAUGGCUUCCAUUUCCCUCACUUUGAUUGUGAUGAAUGGGCAUCAUGGAGUUGUUGCUUUGACUCGAAGCAGGCUUCUCAGAGAUGUCGGAGGCCAGUUUGUGGUUGUCAGAGGCUUGAGUCACGUUGUUAGAGGCCAAAGGGUCAGAGGCUUGAGUCCCGUUGUUAGUGGUCAGGGGGUCAGAGGCUUGAGUCCCGUUGUUAAAGGCCAGGGGGUCAGAGGCUUGAGUCCCGUUGUUAGAGGCCAGGGGGUCAGAGGCUUGAGUCCGGUUGUUAGAGGCCAAAGGGUCAGAGGCUUGAGUCCGGUUGUUAGAGGCCAAAGGGUCAGAGGCUUGAGUCACGUUAGAGGCCAGGGGGUCAGAGGCUUGAGUCACGUUGUUAGAGGCCAGGGGGUCAGAGGCUUGAGUCCCGUUGUUAGAGGCCAAGGGGUCGGAGGCUUGAGUCCCGUUGCCAGAGGCCAGGGGGUCAGAGGCUUGAGCCAGGG